UACGGAGGAUGCAAGCGUUAUCCGGAAUGAUUGGGCGUAAAGCGUCCGCAGGUGGCUGUGUAAGUCUGCUGUCAAAGAGCAAAGCUCAACUUUGUAAAGGCAGUGGAAACUACACGGCUAGAGUGCGUUCGGGGCAGAGGGAAUUCCUGGUGUAGCGGUGAAAUGCGUAGAGAUCGGGAGGAACACCGGUGGCGAAGGCGGGUCUCUGGGCAAUUCCUGACGCUGAGGCGCGAAAGCGUGGGGAGCAAACGGG
rnacentral:rRNA from 1 species